GUUGAACGCUGGCGGCAGGCCUAACACAUGCAAGUCGAGCGAGUGGCGGACGGGUGAGUAAUGUCUGGGACACUGCCUGGUGGGGGGGGAUAACUCGUGGAAAGGGUAGCUAAUACCGCAUACCCACAGAUGUGCACAGAUGGGAUGAGCUUGUUGGGGGGGUAACGGCUCACCAAGGCGACGAUCCCUAGCUGGUCUGAGAGGAUGACCAGCCACACGGGAACUGAGACACGGUCCAGACUCCUACGGGAGGCAGCAGUGGGGAAUAUUGCACAAUGGGCGCAAGCCUGAUGCAGCCAUGCCGCGUGUGUGAAGAAGGCCUUCGGGUUGUAAAGUACUUUCAGCGGGGAGGCGUUACCCGCAGAAGAAGCACCGGCUAACUCCGUGCCAGCAGCCGCGGUAAUAC
rnacentral:rRNA from 1 species